rnacentral:rRNA from 1 species
UACGUAGGGGGCUAGCGUUGUCCGGAAUCAUUGGGCGUAAAGCGCGCGUAGGCGGCCCGGUAAGUCCGCUGUGAAAGUCCAGGGCUCAACCCUGGAAAGCCGGUGGAUACUGCCGUGCUGGAGUGUGGGAGAGGUGCGUGGAAUUCCUGGUGUAGCGGUGAAAUGCGCAGAUAUCAGGAGGAACACCUAUGGCGAAGGCAGCUCGCUGGGACGGUAGCUGACGCUGGAGACGCGAAAGCGUGGGAGCGAACAGGAUA